AACGGGGGGGCUAGCGUUAUUCAUCGUUAUUGGGCGUAAAGGGUAUGUAGGUGGAUCUUUCCUUUUUAGCAGAAAUGACAAAAAAUAAUCUUUGUCGCCGUUUUUAAAGAUGCGGAUCUGGAGAUAGAUGGGGUGAAUGGAAUUACUAAUGUAGGGGUAAAAUGCGCAGAUAUCAGGAGGAACACCGGUGGCGCCGGCGGGUCGCUUGCUCGUAACUGACGCUCAUGCACGACAGCGUGGGGAUCAAACAGG
rnacentral:rRNA from 1 species